rnacentral:rRNA from 1 species
AGCGAACGCUGGCGGCAGGCUUAACACAUGCAAGUCGAACGCCAUCUUCGGAUGGAGUGGCAGACGGGUGAGUAACGCGUGGAAACAUACCUUUUGCUUCGGAAUAUUCCCGGGAAACUGGGAGCAAUACCGAAUACGCCCUGAGGGGGAAAGAUUUAUCGGCAAAAGAUUGGUCCGCGUUGGAUUAGGUAGUUGGUAGGGUAAUGGCCUACCAAGCCUACGAGCUAUAGCUGGUUUGAGAGGAUGAUCAGCCACAUUGGUACUGAGACACGGACCAAACUCCUACGGGAGGCAGCAGUGGGGAAUAUUGGACAAUGGGCGAAAGCCUGAUCCAGCCAUGCCGCGUGAAUGAUGAAGGCCUUAGGGUUGUAAAAUUCUUUCACUGGGGACGAUAAUGACGGUACCCGGAGAAGAAGCCCCGGCUAACUUCGUGCCAGCAGCCGCGGUAA